AAAGGAAUGCUAAUACCGCAUACGUCCUACGGGAGAAAGCAGGGGAUCUUCGGACCUUGCGCUAAUAGAUGAGCCUAAGUCGGAUUAGCUAGUUGGUGGGGUAAAGGCCUACCAAGGCGACGAUCUGUAGCGGGUCUGAGAGGAUGAUCCGCCACACUGGGACUGAGACACGGCCCAG
rnacentral:rRNA from 1 species